CGCGUAGGCGGCUCGCUAAGUUGGAUGUGAAAACUCUGGGCUUAACCCAGAGCCUGCAUCCAAAACUGGCAAGCUUGAGUACUGGAGGGGAAAGCGGAAUUCCUGGUGUAGCGGUGAAAUGCGUAGACAUCAGGAGGAACACCGGUGGCGAAGGCGGCUUUCUGGACAGUAACUGACGCUGAGGCGCGAAAGCUAGGGAGCAAACA
rnacentral:rRNA from 1 species